ACAAACGCUGGCGGAAUGUAUUAGGCAUGCAAGUCGCACGAGCCUUCGGGCUAGUGGCGGACGGGUGAGUAACACGUGGGUAACCUGCCUCGUAGUGGGGAAUAACUCGCCGAAAGGCGAGCUAAUACCGCAUAACACCCCUGGUGAGAUUCCGGGUGGUAAAAGCUCCGGCGCUAUGAGAGGGGCCCGCGGCCGAUUAGCUUGUUGGUGGGGUAACGGCCUACCAAGGCGACGAUCGGUAGCUGGUCUGAGAGGAUGGUCAGCCACACGGGGACUGAGAUACGGCCCCGACUCCUACGGGAGGCAGCAGCUAAGAAUCUUGCGCAAUGGGCGAAAGCCUGACGCAGCAAUUCCGCGUGGGGGACGAAGGCCCUCGGGUCGUAAACCCCUUUUGCGAGGGAAGAAGUUCUGACGGUACCUCGCGAAUAAGACACGGCUAACUACGU
rnacentral:rRNA from 1 species